rnacentral:pre_miRNA from 1 species
ACAACAUUCGGAUCGUCGGUCUACCGAGGAACUUCCGCUCGGUGGAAGUUCUUUCCUCCGUCGU